ACUUGCACCCGCUGAUGGUGC
rnacentral:miRNA from 1 species